CGCUGGCGGCGUGCUUAACACAUGCAAGUCGAACGGUAAGGCCCUUCGGGGUACACGAGUGGCGAACGGGUGAGUAACACGUGGGUGAUCUGCCCUGCACUUCGGGAUAAGCCUGGGAAACUGGGUCUAAUACCGGAUAGGACCAUGGACUUCACGGUUUGUGGUGGAAAGCUUUUGCGGUGUGGGAUGGGCCCGCGGCCUAUCAGCUUGUUGGUGGGGUAAUGGCCAACCAAGGCGACGACGGGUAGCCGGCCUGAGAGGGUGUCCGGCCACACUGGGACUGAGAUACGGCCCAGACUCCUACGGGAGGCAGCAGUGGGGAAUAUUGCACAAUGGGCGCAAGCCUGAUGCAGCGACGCCGCGUGAGGGAUGACGGCCUUCGGGUUGUAAACCUCUUUCAAUAGGGACGAAGCGCAAGUGACGGUACCUAUAGAAGAAGCACCGGCCAACUACGUG
rnacentral:rRNA from 1 species